rnacentral:rRNA from 1 species
UCCGGGGGGAGCAAGCGUUGUUCGGAUUUACUGGGCGUAAAGGGCGCGUAGGCGGCCUCUGCAAGUCGACUGUGAAAUCUCCGGGCUUAACCCGGAAAGGUCAGCCGAUACUGCAGGGCUAGAGUGCAGAAGGGGCAACUGGAAUUCUCGGUGUAGCGGUGAAAUGCGUAGAUAUCGAGAGGAACACCUGCGGCGAAGGCGGGUUGCUGGGCUGACACUGACGCUGAAGCGCGAAAGCUAGGGGAGCGAACGGG